UACGGGGGGGGCAAGCGUUGUUCGGAAUUACUGGGCGUAAAGGGCUCGUAGGCGGCCAACUAAGUCAGACGUGAAAUCCCUCGGCUUAACCGGGGAACUGCGUCCGAUACUGGAUGGCUUGAGUUUGGGAGAGGGAUGCGGAAUUCCAGGUGUAGCGGUGAAAUGCGUAGAUAUCUGGAGGAACACCGGUGGCGAAGGCGGCAUCCUGGACCAACACUGACACUGAGGAGCGAAAGCCAGGGGAGCAAACGGG
rnacentral:rRNA from 1 species